ACAGCACUUGGGGGAUGUAAGCAUAUGCCUUUAGGCAUAUGUGUAUCGACUACGUCGAAUAAAGUUCUAGAUAGAAUACUGAUGAUGACAAUUUUCUAUCUAUAUGUCUUGACCAAAUCUCGUGCCAGCAGUCGCGGCAAUACGAGGAAGACUAGUGUUAUUCAUCUUUAAUAGGUUUAAAGGGUACCUAGACUGUACAUCUAGCCCCUAAAGGGUACGGAUGAUAAACUAGAGUUUUAUGUGAGAGGUAGAUAUCAGUACUAUUGGUGUAGAGAUGAAAUUCUUUGAUACUACUAGGAACUGGUGGCGGCGAAAGCAACCCUCUAUGUAUAAACUGACGUUGAGGGACGAAGGCUUGGGUAGCGAAUAGGAUUAGAUACCCUGGUAGUCCAAGCAGACAAUUAUGAGUGCCAUAGACUAAAAAAUAGUCUAUAAAUGAAAGUGUAAGCACUCCACCUCAAGAGUAAUGUGGCAACGCAGGAACUGAAAUCAUUAGACCGUUUCUGAAACCAGUAGUGAAGUAUGUUAUUUAAUUCGAUAACCCUCGAAAAACCUUACCACAAUUUGAAUAUUAUUUGAUUAAUACAAGCGUUGCAUCGAUGUUUCUUCACAUGCGUUGCAGCUGUAUUUUUUAAUUAAUACAAGCGUUGCACGGCUGUCUUCAGUUAAUGUCGUGAGAUUUUGGUUAGAUCCAUUAAAUUAACGUAAACCCUUACUUUAUUUAUCAUUAAUAAAGUAGUUCCCCGCUAUAUUGGAUAUGAUAAUAGGACUAAGACAA
rnacentral:rRNA from 2 species